rnacentral:rRNA from 1 species
CCUACGGGUGGCAGCAGUGGGGAAUAUUGCGCAAUGGGCGAAAGCCUGACGCAGCGACGCCGCGUGAGGGAUGAAGGUCUUCGGAUCGUAAACCUCUGUCAGCAGGGAAGAACGGUCACUGUGCUAAUCAGCAGUGAAUUGACGGUACCUGCAAAGGAAGCACCGGCGAACUCCGUGCCAGCAGCCGCGGUAAGACGGAGGGUGCGAGCGUUAAUCGGAAUUACGGGGCGGAAAGCGCUCGUAGGCGGUAUGUCACGUCAAGGGUGAAAUCCCCGCGCUCAACUUGGGAACUGCCUUUGAAACUUGCAAACUGGAGUGUGUGAGAGGAUAGUGGAAUUCCAGUUGUAGGAGUGAAAUCCUUAGCUAUCUGGAGGAACAUCAGUGGCGAAGGCGACUCUCUGGCACAUACCUGACGCUGAGGAGCGAAAGCGUGUGUAGCAAACCGGAUUAGAUACCCGAGUAGUC